GCCCAAAGUCGGUUUAGCUAACUUCGGAAGCGACUGCCUAAGGCAGGUUGGUGACUGGGGUGAAGUCGUAACAAGGUAUCCCUACGAGAACGUGGGGAUGGAUCACCUCCUUUCUACGGAGUACAAUUACAAUUUCAUUUUUGGCCUAAAAUCUUAAUACCUGAUAUUUAAAACUAAAUUAAUUAAAUAUCUCACGAGGGUACUAAGUCAGUGUGUUGGUGUAGCCAAAAGCACUCUAAUAUUCAGUUUUGAGGGAUUUACCUCAAAAAAAUAGAUCUUUGAAAACUGAAUAGCAUAUAAAUUAAUAUGAUAACGACAUCAAAAUAUAUUUUGUGAAAAUAAUUUUGAUCCGAGUUGUGUCUAUACAUGGGUAUAGACACUAUAAAUACCUUAAGAAUACAUCAAAACAAAAAAACAUUUUUUUUAAUAGGAAAAAAUAGUUACUUAUACUUUUAAAUAAGCAAGAGUUUGUAGUGG
rnacentral:misc_RNA from 1 species